rnacentral:rRNA from 1 species
GACGAACGCUGGCGGCGUGCUUAACACAUGCAAGUCGAACGGAAAGGCCCUGCUUUUGUGGGGUGCUCGAGUGGCGAACGGGUGAGUAACACGUGAGUAACCUGCCCUUGACUUUGGGAUAACUUCAGGAAACUGGGGCUAAUACCGGAUAGGAGCUCCUGCUGCAUGGUGGGGGUUGGAAAGUUUCGGCGGUUGUGGAUGGACUCGCGGCUUAUCAGCUUGUUGGUGGGGUAGUGGCUUACCAAGGCUUUGACGGGUAGCCGGCCUGAGAGGGUGACCGGCCACAUUGGGACUGAGAUACGGCCCAGACUCCUACGGGAGGCAGCAGUGGGGAAUAUUGCACAAUGGGCGGAAGCCUGAUGCAGAAACGCCGCGUGCGGGAUGACGGCCUUUGGGUUGUAAACCGCUUUCGACUGUGACGAAGCGUGAGUGACGGUAAUGGGUAAAGAAGCACCGGCUAACUACGUG